rnacentral:lncRNA from 1 species
UGACAUUUGUUUUCCUUAUCUGUCAGGACCGACUGCCUUAAGUGCGCGAUCCGCCGCUUAGAGCAGAGAAGUGGUUUAAUGGGAGGAGCAGGUUUUAUCUCCUAACAGCAACUUCUGCUUUAGUCAAAUGAGUUUCAUUAAGGGGGGGGGGGAAAGAACCUGAGCUGGGCUCCUGACAAUCAGGUCUGUCAGAUAAAAAUAGUAACCACACGAGCAGACCUUUGUCUAACUGCGCAUGCCCAGGACUGGGGCCCGCGUGGUUAGAGAACGCUCCGACAUCAGCUCAGAACGUGGUCCAAGUUGGUCCUUAAGACACCGAGUGCGCCUGCGCUUGCUGGGGGUGGGUCCUGGAGUGCUGGGUGGGGCCCUUGUGUGCUCUGCGCUUCUCCCGCGCUUUUCCAGAAAAAGUGUGCAUUUUGAUGGUUCGGAGCGGGCCUACGCGGAUUUGCUAUUGAGGUCCCCAUUUAAGGGUUUUACCGGCCCUGGCUCUCGUUCCUACGUCAACAAAAAUGUACUACUGUUGAACUUCAACCACUCUGGGUGAUGCCAAGGAUACAUUUUGCUACAACAAUAAUUAUGCUUCUGGACCCUCGCCUGGUAAAAUGGAAAGCAUGUAAAAUGUAUGGACCCUUUUGAAGACAGUGGCCUACCCAGAAAUCCUGGAUAACCUUUUCAUCUGAAGGUCCUUAACUUAGUCCCAUUUAUGAAGGCUCCUUUGCCAUGUGAG